UGGGGAAUAUUGGACAAUGUGCGAAAGCCUGAUCCAGCCAUGCCGCGUGUGUGAAGAAGGUCUUCGGAUUGUAAAGCACUUUAAGUUGGGAGGAAGGGCAGUAAGCGAAUACCUUGCUGUUUUGACGUUACCGACAGAAUAAGCACCGGCUAACUCUGUGCCAGCAGCCGCGGUAAUACAGAGGGUGCAAGCGUUAAUCGGAAUUACUGGGCGUAAAGCGCGCGUAGGUGGUUCGUUAAGUUGAAUGUGAAAGCCCCGGGCUCAACCUGGGAACUGCAUCCAAAACUGGCGAGCUAGAGUAGGGCAGAGGGUGGUGGAAUUUCCUGUGUAGCGGUGAAAUGCGUAGAUAUAGGAAGGAACACCAGUGGCGAAGGCGACCACCUGGGCUCAUACUGACACUGAGGUGCGAAAGCGUGGGGAGCAAACAGG
rnacentral:rRNA from 1 species